rnacentral:lncRNA from 1 species
UGAAAUCCAUUGGUCUGCGAAGUCCUGCUCUGUUUUGCUUUCCCGCGUUGGCUUCGAUUCUUAGGGCUCCCGUCACAGCGGAGCUGGAGUUCUUCUAUCGUCGCCACAUCUCCAAGAAAGUAAUCUGUUUCUUACCCUCGUUGAUCUACGCAUUCACCCACUUACGCCUUUUCUUCGUUGGAAAAGAUUCAAUAUUGACGGAUUUCCUCCUCGUUUCAUGGUUUCCUCUAUUAUUUUCUAGUUUGGGUUUCAUUAGGAUUGGUCGUUCCUUACAAUAAUGUGUUUCAAUUCUUCUGAUAGCGACAUUUGAGAACAACGAGCAUUCUUUGAGUGAAUUCUUAGUGGGUUUUCGGUCCGUCUGCUUGCUUGUUUGAUUAAUCUUCCCACGAUAAAUACUAUGGGCAGAAUGAUUUGAGCCAUGGAAGUUAGGGUUUAAAGGCUUGGGGUUUUCGUGCUCAUCAUACAUGCCUAGUCGGAACUUUAGGGUUUUAGGAAUUUGCCGAUCAUGGAAUUGGAUGGUCUUGGUUCAGGUCAUAUGGGGUUGUCUAUGCUUACGAUUUGAUAUCUAUAAACGCGAUAAUUUGCGUCCGAUUUUUCUAUUCUUGCAUCAAUUCGUUGCGAUCAAUGUUCUUGUCAUUGCUUGUGAUGUGGAAACCUCUUUUGGAAAGGAAAAUGCUUUUUUUCUGUUAAGUGAUUGCUAAAACUCGGGAUUAGUGAUAACCUAACUAAAAUUUUAUGGGCAUCUGGGUCAAACUAAAUAUUUUCAUUGCAUAUUUUGAAUUGAAUUCGACACUGGACAUUUCCUCUGUCUAAACAAAAACUAUCGAGUUGGAAAAUGCCACACAAUUGCAACCUUGAUUAUAAAUUUCAUUUUCCUUUUUAGUCCCAGUAGGUCUUGCCAUCUUCUGACCUCUGAUUUCUAGCUUCAAUCUCAUUAUUAUGUAAUGGAUUCUCAAUUGCAAUCUUUUUUUGUCAUUGUGUCUUGAUGCUAAGGUUCUUAUUUUGAGACAUGGAUUUAUGUGAUUGAUACGGUAUAUUUUGGCCCAAGACAUGUUAGAAUCUGACGCCAUCAUCUACAGGCAGAAUCCGUACUAAGGUACUGCUCGACACGAUAUGUCCUGGGAAUCCCGAGACAGAACCGCUCCCGAGACACGCCAAGUCAGAAUCCGUACCAUGGCACUGCUCGGCACGUCACGACUCGGGAAUCCCGAGGCCGAGCCGCUCCCGAGACAUGCCAAGUCAGAAUCCGUACCAAGGCAUUAUUUGGCACGUCCACCACGCCAACUCGCGUACGACCGACCCACGUACAAUAAUAUAAAGACCUAUGGCCAGCAUCUGGCCAGGGGGUGACAAAAAUCAAUUGAUCACUUGACUGACUUGCUAGUCGGAAGGACCUCGUCGGGUGAUCCCGACGAGGGCUAUUUUUGUAGGAAAACACAGCCACCUCACGAAGGCGAGCUGCCAACCCUCGAGAAUCUCCAUCCAGUGCACGAAGGAGAGCAGCCAAUUGGUCCGGGUCCCGACUAACGCCAACUAGUACUCCUUCCCGCGGGCGCGACCACCUCACAAAGACGAGCUCCCAACCACCCCGGAGAAGGAGAGACGCAGCUCGGCAUACACGGCGCCCGGAUCGGCACACCAAGGAACGUUGAUCAACACCCUGUCGCGAGGGCCCGGUCGACCUCGGCAUCUAGCUCAGCCAACAAAAACUCCUGACAUCGGCCCGUGGACCUAAUCGUGCUGACUCACCAGCUACGACACAUUUGUUCACCAACAUUUUGACACUAAAAGGAGGGCCAUGUCGUAGGAGCAUCCCAUGGGAGCUCUCCUCGAGGAAGAACCACCAGUCGGUCACCCUGUUGUCGAGCCCGGAGAUCAGCCCCUCCCCGUCCUUCGAGAUGGGGGGACCCCGGCCUCGAUGCUAGAUCACUACUGUCGCCUGUUCAAUGACUCGGGGUUACCACCUCCCGGACUUACCGCGGGAUCCUCGGUCGUGUCGCCCGAGGCGUUCCUCAACCUGACCAAGCAAGUACAAGCGAUGGCAGGGAUGAUGCAGAUACUCGUCCCGCUCAUUCCCCAAAUCGUGCAGCUAGCAGCUCCCUCGAUUGACCCGACCCUGCAAAGGCCGAGCAGGGAGUAGGUCGGGACGGCAGAAGCCCGAGACCGAAUGACGGACCCGAGAGGUCCGCCCGAGCAGAGCAUACCCGCACCCUACCGAGUCACACUACCCCACUUCGAGCCUAACAUUGUAUCAUCCGACUCGGCGGACGACUCGCUUAGGGCCCAAUUGUCCCCGGUCAACCAACGUUUGGAUGCGUUCCAACGUGAGUUUCGAAAAUCGCGGGACGAGUCCAGUAAAGGCGGCUCGGGCGGGUCCCCUUUCACUCAGCAAGUACAGGACAGGCCAGUACCUCUCAACUUCAGGCUGUCGACAUUGGAGACAUACGAUGGCGGCUCCGAUCCCACGGAGCACGUCCCCACAUUUCGGGCUCAGAUGGCCCUCUAUGGCACCUUCGAUGCAUUAAUGUGCCGGGCAUUUCUGACCACUCUAAGGGGAUCGGCACGAGCAUGGUUCAGCCAACUACGUCAAUCCUCGGUCUCGUCCUUCGACCAACUCGCCGGGGAGUUUGAGAAGAACUUUCUCGCCAGCACGCGACCUAGGCCUUCCAUGGCCACCCUGCUCGUGCUAUCCCAGCACGAAGACGAGUCGCUUUCUUAGUUCAUGGCACGCUUUGCCACUGAGAUCCGGGGAUUCCCGGACGCUCACUCUUCUCUUAUCAUGUAGGCGUUUCUGAUGGGUUUGAAGCCUUCAAGGUUCUUCUGGUCACUGAUCGAGAGGCCACUAGUAGUCAUCCCCAAGAUGCUCCAGCGCGCGCCAACCAGUACAUCACCGCUGAAGCUCUAGUGGCGGGAAAGCGCAUGAACAGCAAGAAGCCAAGGGCGGAGCAAUCUCGGGGAACAACUUCAGUAGCCCAGGUGCAACCCCGCCAGAGGCCCGACUGACAAGAGCUAUUGCUCCCGAGGCCUCCGCCUCUUCCUCUGAGCACAUUCCAUCGGGACUACAGCCAUGGCACGAAAGAUUGUUGUGACCUCCAGAAUCGAAGCGAGGACUUCAUCCGAAAAGGUCACCUCGGGCGCUAUCUCGAGAAACCCCGAGAAGCAACUCCACGUCCCAAGGGACCCAUCGAAAUACACCGGCCCAACUCUUGCCCGAGCCUGUCCAGAUCGGUUCCCGACCUGCAACCCGCAAGCUUAGCUCUGGCCCGAGCCUCUCCAGAUCGGUUCCCGACCUGUGGCUCGCUAGCCCAGCUCUUUCUCGAGCCUCUCCAGAUCGAUCCCCAGAUUCAAUUCGGAGCUGAGCUCACAACUCGGUCCCCAGACUCAAUUCGGAGCUGAGCUCACAACUCGGUCCCCAGACUCAAUUCGGAGCCGAGCUCACAACUCGGUCCCCAGAUUCAAUUCGGAGCCGAGCUCACAACUCGGUCCCCAGACUCAANNNNNNNNNNNNNNNNNNNNUUCGGAGCCAAGCUCACAACUCGAUCCCCAGACUCAAUACGGAGCCGAGCUCAUAACUCGGUUCCCAGACUCAAUUCGGAGCCGAGCUCACAACUCGGUCCCCAAAUUCAAUUCGGAGUCGAGCUCACAACUCGGUCCCUAGACUUAAUUCGGAGCCGAGCUUACAACUCGGUCCCAAACUCAAUUCGGAGCCGAGCUCACAACUCGGUCCUCAGACUCAAUUUGAAGCCGAGCUCAUAACUCGGUCCUCGGACUCAAUUCGGAGCCGAGCUCACAACUCGAUCCCCAAACUCAAUUCGGAGCCGAGCUCACAACUCGGUCCCCAGACUCGAUACAGAGUCGAAUCUACCCACCAGGCCAUCCAAUGCCCGAGCCGCAUCUCGACCAAAUCCAACACCUGCGUCGCAUCUCGGCCAAUCCAACGCCCGAGUCGUAUCUCGGCCAAAUCCAGCGUCCGAGCCACGCAUCUCGACCAAUCCAAUGCUCGAGCCACGCAUCUCGGCCAAUCCAACGCUCGCGUCGCAUCUCAGCCAAAUCCAGUGUCCGAGCCACGCACCUCGGCCAUCCAACGCUCGAGCCACGCAUCUCGUAGCCAAUCUUAUGCCUGAGUCACAUCUCAGUCAAUCCAGCGCCCGAAUCACCGGCCUAGUCCGUUAAUCCAAGUCGCUCCACGUUGACCCCCAGCUCGCUUGCCGACUUGCAAACUCUACAGUCGUAACUCCGAGCCGAGCCAAACCCGUUAUCCGACCUACGACACGUCGUUUUUGCCUCGUCGAUUUCGCCUCACUAGGCCCCUACCGUUCGACCAGCAAGGUCAGUCCUGCCCGAAUCACGGGGCACCACCCCUCUAAAAACGCCCCCCGACGAGUCAAUCCAGCCUCGCCGCGUAGGUCUCGCCUCGCCUGUUUCGACGCUUCGGUUUCGCCUCGACAUGCCCCUACCAUUCGACCAGCAAGGUCAGUCCUGCCCGAAUCAUUGUCACGAACUUAGCUGGUUUUGCCUAAGUCAUGCGGCACCCUUGCGUGUCCGUCCGCAAAGGUCAACCUCCCCGAAGCCUCCCAUGUCCCUUAGGACCCCCAAAAGAGAGAAACGGGUUAGAGAAAACGCCUCAUUCAGGAUCCACAAGCAAACAUCUCCGAAAACACUUCAUAGACAAUGCAAAUUACAAACAGACUUUACAAGCUCUAAACAGUUACACAACAAAGGGUAAAAUGGUCCAUUAUAGACCGACAAUCUCUCACACGUGUCCACAUGACACAACCUUUAUUUACAAGCCUAAAGCGGCCACCAACCUAACUAAAAUGGGACUAUUAAGCCUUCGGCCGUCCCUCUACAUGUUGUACAAAGCAUGAACAUACCAAAAGACACGGACAUACAUAAGCAUUACAUCAAACAUCCUGUUUCGAAGUUUGUCUAUGAUAUUCUCCCCCACUUAUUCCUUCGACGUCCUCGUCGAAGCCUUUGUCGACACUGCAACUCCUCGCCUUUGCUGAGUCUUCAAUCUUCUGCUUCAACUGCAAUGCGCCUCGUGGCUCCCAGCUGCUCUUCACUGUUGUUUUUGAGUGGUCGAACCUUUGAUCCGCCAUGCUGCUUCAACUCGCCAAUGACUCUGACUUUAGUGUGGGGUUGGCUAAGUUGUGUUGAUCCCUGUUGGUUCCUGUGAAUCCUCCAUAUGAAGGAAAGACCAUCCUUACUACGCUAGUCUCUCAAAUGCCUCAUACUGCUUGAACUGGGUGGAUGCUUGUUGGAGCUUUAACGAGCAUCAUCUCGCAAGCUUCUGAAGUUUUGGGUCCUUCCUCCAUAAAAUUUGCCCAUUGACUCUUCUUUCACUUGGUUGUCACUUCCAAGUAGGUUCGCAUCACUUCCGCUUUCGAUUGGCAUUUCGUUGGAAAAUGAAGCGGACAAUCUACUCUCAGUAGCACUGAUCACCGUUGGUGAGGAUUUGACAACCAUUGUCUUCCAUUAUCUUCGAAGGGUCUUUGAACAUGUGCAGAGCUCCUCUGUUGGAUAGAUAAGAGAAAUUGGGUACUCGGUUUCGCCCAUUCUCUCAAGAGUUGAGAAGGCAAAGGUUACUUGACUUCGCCCGCCUCCUCGAGGUUGUACUUCAUACAUCGAGCUGGUUACUGGCCUUCGCCUGCUCUUUGCUCACACUUCUGAAGCACUUGAAGUGUUUGCACUCCUGGCAUUGAGUUAGUUAUUGUGAUUCACCUUCUCAAUGCCAUCAAACUUCUGGAAUGCAGGAAGUUUUCAACCCAACUUGGAGUAAUUCUUUAAUAGAUUUGGUCGCUUCUGGGAUUAUACCGUCUUCUCCAUCAACCUUGCCGCCUACUCCCCUGAGUAGCAAAGGUACAGCACCGCAUCCUGCCUGCUUCGUUCCUUGGUCAUGCAAUCUUGCAUGACUCGAAGUCCUUCACUUUCGGCUAUCUUGAUGAGAAACUCGUUGACACCGGUCUUACGAAGUUCCUUGGCCUCUGCCCUUCAGCCUUGUCUCGGUACUUGGAGAUUGCCUCUUGCAUGCUCCACCUCCUCGGCCCCUUUUACGACCAAGCACUCUCCCUCCAUGAGAGCAAGGGAUCAAUGACUUUCACGGAAGUCCCGCCUCUGCGGUACCAUGGCGUUGCCAUGCCCAUGGCCCUACUAUCCAUCGCCUCGCAUCUGCAUCCCUUUUCUUCACGAUCAGUAGAUAUGUCUCCGUGGCACUCCUUUGAGUCCACCUCCAUUCUAACUGAUGCUUGAUUUUGGGUAGUUAAGUCCCUCUGGACUCGUCGUCGCUUCCUCGCCCCUUUCGACCCCCUGCUUCAACACCUCUGUGUUCUCUAAGUAGCUCCCUUUGGUCGAUGGAAAGAUAGACUGCAACUCCCAUGCAUGGCCUCUGCCAUCGCAUUAUAGGGUUUGCACCGAUUCUGUUCUCCUUAGCUUCCUUGGUAGCAACGUUCGAUUACUCGACCUUGUCCUCUGACUUGCCGGGCUCCCUUAAGCGAAUAUGAGCUUUGGAGCAGUCCAACUCUCCAGCUGCUUCGAUCAUACCUCUGUAUGAUCAAGUCCCCUCCCAUGGGACUCACUGGUACUUGCAUUCGAACUUUUCCCUUGGUGGAACCCAGCCCUCAUAUGCUGAUGACCAAGGUUUUCAUCCGAUGCAAAAUUCGAUGCACGCAUGGAAGACCCGCCUCUGCAGUACCAUGGCCUUCACUCCUUGAAUCCAUAGCCCUUCUAAUCGUCGUGUUCUUCACCGAAGUGGAGCUUCCAAUAGCUCCCGAUCAUACCUCCAUAUGAUCUAGUCCCUCGCGGGACUAGAUUGUGUGUAUCGCAUUGCCAUGAACUGUUCCACCACGAUCCGAUGCACCAUGUCGCCUCCUGGUGACAUCUCUAUUGCAUUCUGAUCCUUGUGGGAUGAACUCGAAUUGUGAACCCUUCAUGUGUGGCCUCUGCCAAUACAUCGCAGGGUCUCUUCCACCUUCGAUUUUGUUCGCUCCUUUGGCAAUCGGCCUUUAUUCACCCACUCUUGGGUCGCACCUAGUUGAAGCACCGCUCUAGGACAGUCUGUCGCCUAGUAGCUCCCGAAGUCCCCCGACUUCACUGCAAUUAGUGCCCCAUUGUCUGGAUCCUGGGCCUCUGCCCCUACCAGCACAAUCUCCAUUGCGCACCUCUUCCUGCCUAGCAACUUGAUUUGCAACACUAUGGCAUAUUCUUUAAGAGUACCCGCCUCUGCGUCCUCUUGCCCCGUGCUAAGGCCUUCUGAACCCAAUUUCGCCUCCGCAAAUUGAGUCGCCUUAUUUCCUCCAUCAAAUGCUUUUCCGAGAUAAGGUGCAUGUGCCCAUAAGCUCCCUUCGUCUUUGGCACCAUGCAAGAUGAGUCUGCUCCGUCAGAAUGAAGGACCUAUGGAACAACAUGAUCCUACUCUUGCCUCUACAAGAGUUCAUGUCCUUGACCUCUGUCUAAAUAAAGCACUGUGCCUCUGCUCCAUGUUCCAACUUCUAUCCUGGCUCCCUUCAUGCGGCUUGGGUACUUCGCCAAGUUACACCCUAGUUGCUCCGCUCCUCGUUUUUGCAUUGAGUCAAUGAUGGCCCUCGCGCCCACCAUUCCACGAGUCAGCCUUCCCUUGAGUUCGAUCUCCAUAUCAACUCCAAGUGUGCCUUCGUUUGAGUUGCUUUGGGUCGCUCCCCCACUUGAUCUCGCAAUGCAUCUACCAAUGCAUUCUCUCGAGCGAGAUCAUGCGACGACUCCUCGCCGCUUGCUCAGUCCAUUGAGCUUCGUGGAGUUGUUGUUUGUUGAGGUACUCCUCAACUUGUGAGGUCCGUCCCACAUGAUUCUCCCUUUGGAGAGCCGGGACUUAUCCCUCCUGGAUAACUGUCCCGUUGGAGCAACAUCUCUUUUCGUUUCGGAGACCACCAUCCCCUUGGACUACUCCGAUCUGCUGAACAAACUAUGCAUUGUUCUGCCUCCUGCAAACGCACUUGCUAGAUUGCGACUCCACGUCAAUGCAACCCCCGUUGCACCACUCAAGGCCUAGCAACAUGCUGAACUCAUUGCAUACUUCAGCCUCCUACGGACGUAUCCUUCACAUGCCGAAGAGAAAGUUUCAAUGCUCCAUGACGCCGAGUUUCGAUCGCCUUGGGAUGGCCACGAACAUUCCAUCGUCCGCAUAUAAGCCCAUGCAUGAGUACCAAAUUCUUUGAGCUAGCAAUUCCCCUCACCUCUGUGAGCUUUGCAUAACUCUUUUGGUCAUUGAGCAACUCAUUCCACCUUGCAUGGUCUCAUCCUUUACCAAGCGCCUCGCUUGCCUUAAGCAUCAUCAAGUAUAGUUGUCAACGUUGAGCCAUAGCUCAAACUCAGCCAUCCCAACCUUUAUGUGCUCCGCAUUCUUCCAAGCUUGCCUAUUCUCGUGGUGCCUCUUGCGCGAAGGGUUGGUCAUUCCUCUGAAUGCCAAUGUCAAAUGCCCGCUCCUCCGAGCGACUCCUUUUCCCUACAUCUCCAUGCCCGUUUUCCCCCCAAACGGUCGUGCGUGUGCUGACUGCCCUCAACGCAGCCCCGCUAGGUUCCCCACGUUUGCAUGCUAAGUGUUUCUAUGAGUGCUUGUCCCGCUCUGAUACCAUCUGUCACAGACUUAGCUGGUUUUGCCUAAGUCGUGCGGCACCCUUGCGUGUCCGUCCGCAAAGGUCAGCCUCCCCGAAGCCUCUCAUGUCCCUUAGGACCCCCAAAAGAGAGAAACGGGUUAAAGAAAACGCCUCAUUCGGGAUCCACAAGCAAACAUCUCUGAAAACACUGCAUAGACAAUGCAAAUUACAAACAGACUUUAUAAGCUCUGAACAGUUGCACAACAAAGGGUAAAAUGGUCCAUUAUAGAUCGACAAUCUCUCACACGUGUCCACAUGACACGAUCUUUAUUUACAAGCCUAAAGCGGCCACCAACCUAACUAAAAUGAGACUAUUAAGCCUUCGGUCGUCCCUCUACAUGCUGUACAAAGCAUGAAUAUACCAAAAGAUACGGACAUACAUAAGCAUUACAUCAAACAUCUUGUUUCGAAGUUUGUCCGUGACAUCAUGGGGCACUGCCCCUCUAAAUCGUCCCCCGAUGAGUCAUUCCAGCUUCCCCGCAUAAGCAGCCAACACAAUCACGUCAUUCGGACCAAGACAUGCCUCUCGACCCCAUGGCACGCCUCUCUCUGGUUAUGCUUGAGAAUCAAUAUUUUCAGUUUAAGCUUAUUUUAUUUUGCUUACAUAGCUUUUGUUCUUCUUGUCCAAUGUCCACUGAGUAAGACUUCGAAGAGACAUGUUCAACAUAGUGCUGCAUGUGGUAUGGUCUUUGAUGCACCUUAGUGUUUUUUUCUCACCAGGGAACAAUUCUUUUUCAUCACUCUGUUUCUUUCAUUUCCCAAGUAAUCCAUUAUUUGCCUUGUUUCCGGGGUCCAAUGCCAAUGCAUCACCAAUAAGAAUGUGUACUACCUUCAAAGGCUUUUCUUUUUGUUGUUGUUCAAUUUUUGUUUGUUUAUUCCUACUGUGUGGCAUGGUACUGCCAACUGCAGCUCCUUUUCAAGCAAGUCGACUAGUGAUUUAGUCUUUUUCCUUUUCAAGCAAGUCCUGUCAUAUUAUUCAAUGACAUUUUCAUAUAACAAAUCAAAAAAUUCAGUGGAAUGCAUGUUCUUUCACACUUUGUUUACUGCUUUUAGGUGGUGGGAACUUUAUUAAUAAGAAUUUUCAAAUUUCUACUAAUGUUUGCAAAUAUCUUAUUAUUUGGAAAUUGGUUUCCAAAUUCCAGUGCUUAAUUCUAGUUUAUGAACAGCUUUGGAUUACUUGACAAGCAUUUGACUUCCAUGAUAUGCAAUGGUGAAGACCAUAUUCAAUAGUCAAUAUUCAAUAUUCAUUCUCAUGACCUUACUAUCAAACGUUGAACUCUCUCUGCACGAGAUUUAUAUUACUGUAGAGAAAAUAUGGCAUUUCUGGAGCAAUAAGCAUUUCUAUGUUUUUAUGACGAGGUGUUUAACUUUUUCAUUCAGUGCUCUGUAUGACUUUCUAUUGUUUGUGUCAAAUAGUCUGAAAUCAAAAUUUUCUUUGAUGUAAAUCAAACAGAUUUAAGAUCACCAGAAUUACUAUUCCAUUAACAAAAUGUUACGUUUUACUAUUUGGAGUACCUUUCAGAGUAUUUUAUUCCUUUGAUUGCUGAAAAUGCAUGCAUCUUAUUCCCAUACGACAGAGUAGUUGCUGGUAUAAUCGAGGAGGAUACGUGGGCGUGACAUGGAGAUGUGGCUCUUUGGCGCUUAUGAAAGCGCAUUCUAAGGUUGGUUCUCAUACAAAUAAAAGUUUAAACAUAUCAUCAAUAAUUCCAUUUCGCAGUUAUUGAUGAGAUAUCGAUUGAUUUUUUCUUUUUCUUUUUUUUUUACCUUCAGUUCUUGUUAUCAGAAUAGCUUAAAAGAACAGUGUGAGAUCACAUCAUCCCAAAAAAAAUAAGAUUGAGCACUGGUCAAAUCUUUAUGUCGACGUCUUCCAUGGAUUUCAUCUUUUUUGUUGGACAAAACCAGUCUUCUACACUUGCAAAUUGCACGUGAGGGACUCUCGACAAAAAACCAUGUGCUGCGAUGCGACGGUGCAAAACAAUGCCGUUUGCCACCGAAUUGCUGGUAGUGGG